GUGGCCGUGACCCUGCUAGAGUGCGGGGGGGACCUCCAGCCCCCCGGGGGGUCCCUGCGCCUCCUCUGCCGAGGGUCCGGCUUCAGUUUCGGCAAUUUUGGCAUGCACUGGAUCCGCCAGAGACCCGGGCAGGGGCUGGAGUGGCUCGCAGGGAUCAGUGACAAUGGUGGCAGCACCAAGUACGCGCCGUCGGUCAAGGGUCGGUUCAGGAUCGCCAGGGAAAACGGGCAGAGCUCGGUGACGCUGACCAUGAACAACCUCAAGGACGAGGAUUCCGGGUCCUAUUUCUGUGCCAAACGUGACAAUGGU